UUGUUGCUGGCCCUUUCGGGGGCAUGUGCACACCCACCAUCCUCAUCUCUCCACCUGUGCACCUCUUGUAGACCUGAAUUGACUUUCCGAGGCAACUCGGUCGGGAAGAUUGCUGUGCUCUGUGAGCCAGCUUUCUUUGCAUGUCUAGGCCUAUGUUUUUCAUAUACCCCUAUAGAAUGUAACAGAAUGUAUCAUUGGGCCUUGUGCCUAUAAACCUUAUACAACUUUCAGCAACGGAUCUCUUGGCUCUCGCAUCGAUGAAGAACGCAGCGAAAUGCGAUAAGUAAUGUGAAUUGCAGAAUUCAGUGAAUCAUCGAAUCUUUGAACGCACCUUGCGCUCCUUGGUAUUCCGAGGAGCAUGCCUGUUUGAGUGUCAUUAAAUUCUCAACCUUAUUAACUUUUGUUGAUAAUGGAUUGGAUUGUGGGGGUUUCUUUUGCUGGAUUCUUCACAGAGAUCAGCUCCCCUUAAAUGCAUUAGCUGGUGCCCCGCGUGGACCAUCUAUUGGUGUGAUAAUUAUCUACGCCGUGGAUGUCUGCAAUCAUAUGGGUUUUGCACUGCUUCUAACCGUCUGUUCAUUCGGACAAUACAUGACAAUUUGACCUCAAAUCAGGUAGGACUACCCGCUGAACUUAAGCAUAUCAAUAAGCGGAGGAAAAGAAACUAACCAGGAUUCCCCUAGUAACUGCAAGUGAAGCGGGAAAAGCUCAAAUUUAAAAU
rnacentral:rRNA from 1 species